rnacentral:rRNA from 1 species
UAGAGUUUGAUCCUGGCUCAGAACGAACGCUGGCGGCAAGCCUAACACAUGCAAGUCGAACGGAUAACUGCCUAUAGCUUUUUUGUUAUAGGCAGUUAUUAGUGGCAGACGGGUGAGUAAUGCAUAGGAAUCUACCUAGUAGUAUGGAAUAGCCAUUAGAAAUGAUGGGUAAUACUGUAUAAUCCCUGCGGGGGAAAGAUUUAUCGCUAUUAGAUGAGCCUAUGUUAGAUUAGUUAGUUGGUAAGGUAAUGGCUUACCAAGACUAUGAUCUAUAGCUGGUCUGAGAGGACGAUCAGCCACACUGGAACUGAGAUACGGUCCAGACUCCUACGGGAGGCAGCAGUGGGGAAUAUUGGACAAUGGGCGAAAGCCUGAUCCAGCUAUGCCGCGUGAGUGAAGAAGGCCUUCGGGUUGUAAAGCUCUUUCAAUAGGGAAGAUAAUGACGGUACCUAUAGAAGAAGUCCCGGCAAACUCUGUGCCAGCAGCCGCGGUAAUACGGAGGGGGCAAGCGUUGUUCGGAAUUAUUGGGCGUAAAGGGCACGUAGGUGGACUAGUAAGUUAAAAGUGAAAUACCAGAGCUUAACUUGGACGCGGCU